rnacentral:lncRNA from 1 species
UGGAGCAGAAAAUGUGUGUGGGAGAUCAUUCUGGUGUGGAAAUUGGUUUGGUUGGGGAUCAAGCCUGGAGCACUGGAAACAAAUUAGGAUACUAAAUCAGUUCUCAGAAUCGAAGUUGAAUGUCCUAACAAUAGGAAGAGAUUGAUUGGAGGCAGAUUAAGGAGAUGGAACCCGUAAAAGACAUAGUACUUCCAGGUAAACAUUAAACAAUGGUAUGGAUAUCAGAAAAUGACACUACUGUAGAAACAAGCAGCCAAGCAUAAUAUUGGUGAAGACAGGCUUUAUUGUUGGACAAACUGGCUUUGGAAUAAUAUG